rnacentral:rRNA from 1 species
UACGUAGGGUGCAAGCGUUAAUCGGAAUUACUGGGCGUAAAGCGUGCGCAGGCGGUUUUGUAAGUCUGUCGUGAAAUCCCCGGGCUCAACCUGGGAAUGGCGAUGGAGACUGCAAGGCUAGAGUUUGGCAGAGGGGGGUAGAAUUCCACGUGUAGCAGUGGAAAUGCGUAGAUAUGUGGAGGAACACCGAUGGCGAAGGCAGCCCCCCUGGGUCAAAACUGACGCUCAUGCACGAAAACGUGGGGAGCAACAGG